rnacentral:rRNA from 1 species
UACGGAGGGGGCGAGCGUUAUUCGGAAUUAUUGGGCGUAAAGGGCGCGUAGGCGGCUUGACAAGUCAAAGGUGAAAUCCCUCGGCUCAACUGAGGAACUGCCUUUGAAACUGUCAGGCUUGAGGCCGGGAGGGGGUAGCGGAAUUCCCAGUGUAGCGGUGAAAUGCGUAGAUAUCAGUCGGAACACCGGUGGCGAAGGCAGGUCUCUGGGCCACUACUGACGCUGAGAAGCGAAAGCAUGGGGAGCGAACAGG